rnacentral:piRNA from 1 species
GACUAAGCCCAUUUGGACCAGAAACCCU